rnacentral:rRNA from 1 species
GACGAACGCUGGCGGCGUGCUUAACACAUGCAAGUCGAGCGAGGCCCUCCUUCGGGAGGUGUCCUAGCGGCGAACGGGUGAGUAACACGUGGGCAACCUGCCCUCAGCUCUGGGAUAACUCCAAGAAAUUGGGGCUAAUACCGGAUACGACCGCUGACCGCAUGGUCUGGUGGUGGAAAGAUUUAUCGGCUGGGGAUGGGCCCGCGGCCUAUCAGCUUGUUGGUGGGGUAGUGGCCUACCAAGGCGACGACGGGUAGCCGGCCUGAGAGGGUGACCGGCCACACGGGGACUGAGACGCGGCCCAGACUCCUACGGGAGGCAGCAGUGGGGAAUAUUGCGCAAUGGGCGGAAGCCUGACGCAGCGACGCCGCGUGGGGGAUGACGGCCUUCGGGUUGUAAACCUCUUUCAGCAGGGACGAAGCGGAAGUGACGGUACCUGCAGAAGAAGCACCGGCCAACUACGUGCCGGCCGCCGCCGUAACAC